UACGUAGGGGGCAAGCGUUGUCCGGAUUUAUUGGGCGUAAAGAGCGUGUAGGCGGCCAGGUAGGUCUGCUGUGAAAACUCGAGGCUUAACCUCGAGCUGUCGGCGGAAACCAUCUGGCUAGAGUCCGGAAAGAGGAGAAUGGAAUUCCCGGUGUAGCGGGUGAAAUGCGCAGAUAUCGGGAAGAACACCCGUGGCGAAGGCGGUUCUCUGGGACGGUACUGACGCUGGAGACGCGAAAGCGUGGGGAGCGAACAGG
rnacentral:rRNA from 1 species